rnacentral:rRNA from 24 species
AAAUUGAAGAGUUUGAUCAUGGCUCAGAUUGAACGCUGGCGGCAGGCCUAACACAUGCAAGUCGAACGGUAACAGGAAGCAGCUUGCUGCUUUGCUGACGAGUGGCGGACGGGUGAGUAAUGUCUGGGAAACUGCCUGAUGGAGGGGGAUAACUACUGGAAACGGUGGCUAAUACCGCAUAACGUCGCAAGACCAAAGAGGGGGACCUUCGGGCCUCUUGCCAUCAGAUGUGCCCAGAUGGGAUUAGCUUGUUGGUGAGGUAACGGCUCACCAAGGCGACGAUCCCUAGCUGGUCUGAGAGGAUGACCAGCCACACUGGAACUGAGACACGGUCCAGACUCCUACGGGAGGCAGCAGUGGGGAAUAUUGCACAAUGGGCGCAAGCCUGAUGCAGCCAUGCCGCGUGUAUGAAGAAGGCCUUAGGGUUGUAAAGUACUUUCAGCGGGGAGGAAGGUGUUGCGGUUAAUAACCGCAGCAAUUGACGUUACCCGCAGAAGAAGCACCGGCUAACUCCGUGCCAGCAGCCGCGGUAAUACGGAGGGUGCAAGCGUUAAUCGGAAUUACUGGGCGUAAAGCGCACGCAGGCGGUCUGUCAAGUCGGAUGUGAAAUCCCCGGGCUCAACCUGGGAACUGCAUUCGAAACUGGCAGGCUUGAGUCUUGUAGAGGGGGGUAGAAUUCCAGGUGUAGCGGUGAAAUGCGUAGAGAUCUGGAGGAAUACCGGUGGCGAAGGCGGCCCCCUGGACAAAGACUGACGCUCAGGUGCGAAAGCGUGGGGAGCAAACAGGAUUAGAUACCCUGGUAGUCCACGCCGUAAACGAUGUCUACUUGGAGGUUGUGCCCUUGAGGCGUGGCUUCCGGAGCUAACGCGUUAAGUAGACCGCCUGGGGAGUACGGCCGCAAGGUUAAAACUCAAAUGAAUUGACGGGGGCCCGCACAAGCGGUGGAGCAUGUGGUUUAAUUCGAUGCAACGCGAAGAACCUUACCUGGUCUUGACAUCCACAGAACUUUCCAGAGAUGGAUUGGUGCCUUCGGGAACUGUGAGACAGGUGCUGCAUGGCUGUCGUCAGCUCGUGUUGUGAAAUGUUGGGUUAAGUCCCGCAACGAGCGCAACCCUUAUCCUUUGUUGCCAGCGGUUAGGCCGGGAACUCAAAGGAGACUGCCAGUGAUAAACUGGAGGAAGGUGGGGAUGACGUCAAGUCAUCAUGGCCCUUACGACCAGGGCUACACACGUGCUACAAUGGCGCAUACAAAGAGAAGCGACCUCGCGAGAGCAAGCGGACCUCAUAAAGUGCGUCGUAGUCCGGAUUGGAGUCUGCAACUCGACUCCAUGAAGUCGGAAUCGCUAGUAAUCGUGGAUCAGAAUGCCACGGUGAAUACGUUCCCGGGCCUUGUACACACCGCCCGUCACACCAUGGGAGUGGGUUGCAAAAGAAGUAGGUAGCUUAACCUUCGGGAGGGCGCUUACCACUUUGUGAUUCAUGACUGGGGUGAAGUCGUAACAAGGUAACCGUAGGGGAACCUGCGGUUGGAUCACCUCCUUACCUUAAAGAA